CAAACGACCACACUAUCACGCAACGCUCGUUUUUGUUUUUCGGGUCAGGUGUGCAUUGUUCUAGACCCAAAAUUGCACGUGGCAGAAAUUAUGUGGGUCAACAUUCAAAUUAUGCUCCGACCUUUGCCGUCUUGCAGCCUUUUAAACGGCUUUCUGAAUUUCCUGGACUUACAUGUCGUAGGCCAAGGCCUUAUAACAUUUUAAUUUGAAGGCAAUAUAGCCUUUCUACAAAAUCUAUGCACUACCCCUGCAGGUGAACACUUGACGGAGCUCAGUACUGACGUGUAUCACGGGCAUUACAUCAUUAGCCAAUAGGAAAGCUUUACGUGCUGAGCUGCGCACAGACAUCAGUUCGUGAAUACAGGAAUCGAGAACCAAGUAUAAACGGCUUGUCAUAUUUUGACGUCGAGGGAAAUGCACCGGAAACUGCGACUUGGAAGAUUGAGUUGGCAAAAUCAAACAUGCGGUAAAAAUCUUGGAAAUGUUAAAUAGUACUGUGGAUUCAACACACACACACACAAAUUACGUCAUUCAAAAUGUUACUGGAUCGUUGAACGUCGGGCCGUUGAGCAAUAGAAAUCGUCAUCAAUGUUAGCAAUAAUAUGAAAACAUCAUA